rnacentral:rRNA from 1 species
GACGAACGCUGGCGGCGUGCCUAAUACAUGCAAGUCGAACGCAGUGGGGACGGGUGAGUAACACGUGGGUAACCUCCCAUCAGAGGGGAUAACACUUGGAAACAGGUGCUAAACCGAUACUGAUGGAUGGACCCGCGGUGCAUUAGCUAGUGGGUGAGGAAACGGCUCACCAAGGCCAAGAUGCCUAGCCGGCCUGAGAGGGUGAUCAGCCACACUGUGACUGAGACACGGCCCAGACUCCUACGGGAGGCAGCAGUAGGGAAUAUUGGGCAAUGGACGAAAGUCUGACCGAGCAACGCCGCGUGAGGGAAGAAGGUUUUCGGAUUGUAAAACUCUUUGGUUAGAGAAGCGGUAUCUAACCAGAAAGCCACGGCUAACUCCGUGCCAGCAGCCGCGGUAAUUC